CCUACGGGGGGCAGCAGUGGGGAAUAUUGGACAAUGGGGGGAACCCUGAUCCAGCCAUGCCGCGUGUGUGAAGAAGGCCCUCGGGUUGUAAAGCACUUUCAGUGAGGAAGAACGCCUGGUGGUUAAUACCCAUCAGGAAAGACAUCACUCACAGAAGAAGCACCGGCUAACUCCGUGCCAGCAGCCGCGGUAAUACGGAGGGUGCGAGCGUUAAUCGGAAUUACUGGGCGUAAAGCGCGCGUAGGUGGCUUGAUAAGCCGGUUGUGAAAGCCCCGGGCUCAACCUGGGACCGGCAUCCGGAACUGUCAAGCUAGAGUGCAGGAGAGGAAGGUAGAAUUCCCGGUGUAGCGGUGAAAUGCGUAGAGAUCGGGAGGAAUACCAGUGGCGAAGGCGGCCUUCUGGACUGACACUGACACUGAGGUGCGAAAGCGUGGGUAGCAAACAGGAUUAGAUACCCUAGUAGUC
rnacentral:rRNA from 1 species